UCGUGCUUUAACCCACCCAGUUUGUAGAAUUUGUUACACAGCCAUGGCAAACAAAUGCACCCAAUGUCUAAAAGUCCUUUGAUUAACGACUCACAGUUAUCCUUUGAAAAUUCCCAGAAUAAAAUGCAAAUGUCAAGACUCACAGGAGUCAAGAUUCAAACCUUUUGUGUAUUUUAAGCAUCCACAUUUCACUCUUUUUGUUAAAAUAAGAAGAACCAUUCCAGGUCCAACUGUCUUCUGCAGACCUUCUGUGUGGAAUCUUUUCCUGGAGUUGGAAUAGCAGACUUGGGGAUGGUGCUGUGGGUUUGUUUGGUUUAUUGUUGAAAUCCCAAGAAAGAACUUUCAUUUGCAGCUGACUUGGCUGAGCCGGUGGACAAGAUUUCAGGAAGGAACUAAGCUCUGAGCUUUACUGAUAGGCUGGUAUGGAAAACCUUUCUGGACUCCUUAAAUAUAUCCUUCAAGAUUUUGACAUUUCUCUGAUUGGAACUGACAAAUAGAUCUUGGUAGGCCAAAGGUUCCACCCUUCACUCUAAAGCUAAGUUGGAAUCUCACUCUGUUGCCCAGGCUGGAGUACAAUGGCAC